UGGGUUCCGAGCCAGUUGGGCAUCAAGCA
rnacentral:piRNA from 1 species